UCCGAGGAGACAGACCGAAUCGCAA
rnacentral:rasiRNA from 1 species